rnacentral:rRNA from 1 species
GUGUCAGCAGCCGCGGUAAUACGAAGGGGGCUAGCGUUGUUCGGAAUCACUGGGCGUAAAGCGCACGUAGGCGGAUGUGCCAGUCAGGGGUGAAAUCCCGGAGCUCAACUCCGGAACUGCCUCUGAUACAGCACGUCUUGAGUUCGAGAGAGGUGGGUGGAAUUCCUAGUGUAGAGGUGAAAUUCGUAGAUAUUAGGAAGAACACCGGUGGCGAAGGCGGCCCACUGGCUCGAUACUGACGCUGAGGUGCGAAAGCGUGGGGAGCAAACAGGAUUAGAAACCCCUGUAGUCC